UACGUAGGGUGCGGACGAUUGGAUCGAAUCUUGGGCGUAAAGAGCUCGUAGGCGGUCUGUCACGUCGGAUGUGAAAAUCCAGGGCUUAACCCUGGACCUGCAUUCGAUACGGGCAGACUAGAGUUCGGUAGGGGAGACUGGAAUUCCUGGUGUAAGCGGUGAAAUGCGUAGAGAUCAGGAAGAACACCGGUGGCGAAAGCGCUCUGCUAGGCCGCAACUGACACUCAUGGACGAAAGCUAGGGGAGCGAAUGGG
rnacentral:rRNA from 1 species